rnacentral:lncRNA from 1 species
CCUCCCUUCACCCGGUGCCUAUUCCUAUGCCUAAAUCCAUCCCCUGAACGACGCGUCCUUCCCUGGCAGAGCCUCGCUGAAGAAUGGAGGAAAAUCUGCCCGGACCGACCGCCCCCCUGUAUAGGAAAAUAAUCAGGAAGCUUUUGAGGAGCCUCCCAGUUGCCUGAUGCUGUACCUUUGCGCGGAGGCUUUUCUGUUUUCGUUUUCUCAUCAGUCACCCAACUGUGGGGAAAUCGUCUGAUGUUUUUAUUAUCCUUCAAGCGCUAAAUAAAUAAAAUAAAUCGACUUGCGGUACAAACGGUUUCUUAUUAGAGCAAAGAAAUAGCGUCCGCUUGCCAUAAUUUCAUUUAAAAACAAUUCCAGAAUUUUAGGCAAAAAUACAUUUGAAGGAAAGUCUAAUUUAACAAAGACUGGCUUCACUUGGUGUUUUGCGUUGACUGACACACAUCUGCGCAUUGAUAUUAAUCACACUUAGACGCUACUGGCUUUUUAAAAUUAAUCAGACUCUGCUUUUAUCCCCUUUAGAUUUACACUCUAUUCUAGGAUUAGGAGAAUUAAUGAAAAUAAAACUAGGAUUCUCUACUACUUAACAGAAAUAUAUGUAUGCUCUCCAAAGAAUCAUAUUAAAACAUUUUACUCUUUAUUGGUAACAUUGAGAUUUCACCAAGGUGAAAUGUUAAAAAUGGUUCCUAUGCCCACAUUAUUGCCUCUAGUGAAUCCUGCCUUUGGCAAAUCCGCAGAACUGGUUCUUACUACAUUUCAUUCACACACCAGGCACGUUGCUCUAAGCCUGCAAGUGUCUUGAAGAGACUUUUCCUUGAUACCCUCACAUCGAGUCGCACUUUUUUGCAGUGGACCGCCAGUCCAUGAAUCCCUUAACAUCGCAGAAAUCCAGACUGUAUGUUAAACAGCUGUGGAAACCAGGAGAGGCGCACGAUGGUGCUUUCCUUCUUCCUUCAGGAAGACACUACUAUGUUUUGGGGAGAAAGGAGGGCGCUGCCAGAUGGGCGUGUGGCUACCUGCUGCUUCUGCAACGGAGCGCCAGGAACACCAACACCGUGGCAGAAACAACACAGGGAAACGUUCCCAAGGUUGGGCGUGAAGAAAUGGGAAAACUGAAAUAGAGUGUAGACAUCUGGGAUUCAGCCCUCCUGGGGAUCCCAUGAGAAGCCAUGUAGAAGAUCUGCCUAAAACAUGAAAAGGAGGAAAUACUUAUCACUGCUUCUCUUCCUUACUAGCAAGAGGUUUUCCAUGGCAGCAAUGGAGAAACUUUGGCCGAGAAAAUCACGUGGCACAGCGGAGGUGAGGGGGUGUAAGUUCAUACCUGCUUGAAGUCAGUGGCUGCAGCCACAACCAGGGUAGAACAGUGAGCCAAGAGAUGGUGUGAACAUCUUGGAUUUUACGAAUUGUCAAUUUCGAAAGAUUU